UUGGAAAAUUUUACUUUCUUUAGCCAUAUUGAGGAGCUCUUCGUGGGAACCUAGCAUUUCCCAGCCGCUUUAGCGAUGGGUCUUGGUCAUUUCUACUGUAGUGAUGUGGGAAAACCCCGGAUCACCACCUGGAUUCUCAGGAUAAGAGACAGGGAAUACGGCCCCUCCUACCCAAUGGGGUGGGGUGAAGAAAGUAAUUUCCGUUGGGAAACUCUUGAAGGGGCGGGACUUCCGGCAUCCUCAUCGUGGCGGGCAAAUUCCUUCAGCCAGAUUCCGCUCAAUUACGUGCUCAGAAGGUCCAGUCAGUUGGGUGCUAGUGGGGAUCCCCGGGCGGGGAAGGCACCAGAGUUCGGUCCACAAAUAUCAUCCGAGAAGAAGAAAGUGGACGACGCUACCCGGGUGGCCUGCGCCAGGGCCGAGACAAGGGUAGCCUUGGCUGGGGUCGGCAUGGCGGGGGCGACCUCUUCUCCCGCCGCUGUGUCCUGGACUGUAGCUCAAAGUACGUUGGCCGCCUCGCUGAGACGCUCGGCUGAGGUUGGUAUGACCUUUGCGGACAUUGCCCUGUACUUCUCCAGGGAAGAAUGGCGUCUCCUCAAUGAAGCUCAGAGACGCCUGUACCUGGAUGUGAUGCUGGAGAACUUUGAGCUUGUAUCUUCACUGGGUUGCUGCUGUGGAACAGAGGAUGUGGAAGAACUGAUGGAAAAAAACAUUUCUGUAAGAGUGGUACAGGCAGAGAAUCUCAAGAUGACUUUGUCUUCCCAGAAGAGCCACCCAUGUGAGAGUUGUGGGCCAGUGCUGAGAUACAUUUUCCACAUGACUAAAGAGCAGGAAGCACACCACAGCCAGAAAUCAUUGCAAUGUGGGGCAUGUGCAAAAAGAUUUUACAUCAGUACAAAGUGUCACCAGCAGCAAGAGCACCAUGUGAGAGAGAAGCCUUUCAGAAGAGAUGGGGACAAGAUCCUACUUGCAGAGGGCUGCAAUGUCAGUGAGUCCCAGAAGCUUUUCACCUGUGGGGAGGUUGGACCAGGCAUCCUUACCGAGUCAGAACAUCUCCAACAAGAGACUACUCACGGCAGGGACAGGCCAAAUGAAAUCUCGCCAUCUGGAGACACUAAUCAAAGCAGAGAAAAUUAUUUCACCCUGAGUGAAUGUAAAAAGGCCAUUGACUGCUGUCGCGUAUAUAUUCAAAAGAAAGGUGUCCAUACUGGAGGACAGUGUUUUCUUUGCCAUGAUGGUGAGAAAAAUGUCUCUAGAAUAUCUAGGUUUUGUUAUUGUCAAAGAGUUCCCAGUGGACAAAAGCCACAUCAGUGCAGUGAAUGUGGGAAAUCUUUUAAAAAAUUGUCUCAACUUCGUUAUCAUCAGACAGUUCACACUGGAGAAAGGCCAUAUCAGUGCAGUGUAUGUGGGAAGUCUUUUAAAAGAAGACGUAGCCUGUAUUUACAUGAGAAAAUUCACACUGGAGAAAGGUCUUAUGAAUGUAGUGAAUGUGGGAAAUCUUUCUCUGAUAGUACUCGCUUCCAUCGUCAUCAGAGAGUUCACACAGGGGAAAGGCCUUAUGUGUGCAGUGAAUGUGGGAAAUCUUUUACCAGACGUGAUAUCCUUCUUUCUCAUCAGAGACUUCACACUGGAGAAAGGCCUUAUGAGUGCAGUGAAUGUGGGAAAUCUUUUUUCCGAAGGAAUUCACUUCGUUCUCAUCAGAGAGUUCACACUGGAGAAAGGCCUUAUGAGUGCAGUGAAUGUGGGAAAUGUUAUAGCAGUAAAGGUAGUCUUCGUUCUCAUCAGAGAUUUCACACAGGAGAAAGACCUUAUGAGUGCACUGAAUGUGGGAAAUCCUUCUUCCGAAAGAAAGCACUUCGUGGUCAUCAGAGACUUCACACUGGAGAAAGGUCUUAUGAAUGUAGUGAAUGUGGGAAAUCUUACCAGAGUAAAAUUGGCCUUUUGUCUCAUAAGAGUCUUCACACUGGGGAAAGGCCUUAUGAGUGCAAUGAAUGUGGGAAAUGUUUCUUCAAAAGGAGUGUACUUCGUUGUCAUCAGAGAGGUCAUACUGGAGAAAGGCCUUAUGAGUGCAAUGAAUGUGGGAAAUCCUUCUUCCAGAAGAGUGCACUUCGUUGUCAUCAGAGACUUCACACUGGAGAAAGGCCAUAUGAAUGCAGUGAGUGUGGGAAAUCUUUCAUCCAAAAGCAUGACUUUCGUUGUCAUCAGAAUAUUCACACAGGAGAAAGGCCUUAUGUGUGCAGCCAAUGUGGCAAAUCUUAUCCCAGUAAAACUGGCCUUCGUUGUCAUCAGAAUAUUCAUACAGGAGAGAGGCCUUAUGAGUGCAGUGAAUGUGGCAAAUCUUACCGCAGUCAAUCUGGCCUUCGUUAUCAUCAGAAUAUUCACACAGGAGAAAAGUCCUAUCAGUGCAGUCAAUGUGGGAAAACUUAUCCCAGUAAAAUUAGCCUGCGUUAUCAUGAGAGAUUUCACACAGGAGAAAAGCCUUAUGAGUGCAGUGAAUGUGGCAAAUCUUAUCGCAGUCACUCUGGCCUUCGUUAUCAUCAGAAUUUUCACACAGGAGAAAAACCUUAUGUGUGCAGUGAAUGUGGAAAGUGUUAUCGCAGAAAAAGUAGCCUGCUCUCUCAUGAGAGAUUUCACAGAGGAGAAAAGCCUUAUGAGUGCAGUGAAUGUGGGAAAUCGUAUCGCAGUAAGAGUAGCUUGCACUCUCAUGAGAGAUUUCACCAAGGACAAAAGCCUUAUUAGUACAAUGAACGUGCAGAAGUCUUAGAUACUAGGACAUGUACAGUGUUUUACUUUCAUGAUAAAAAUAACAGAAUUCCGUGAAGCCUUGCCUGAGCCAUAUUAUACGGCCAAGCAUCAACAGUAAGGAGGUUCCACAUCAUUAAUUUUUAUAUGUGAAGCCUGUGUGUCCAUGUUGCACUUUCUUGAUUUACCCAUGUGGUUUCCCAGAUCCACCUCACUGCAUAUUUCUGUUGAAGCUAUUUCCCGUGUACCAGCUAUAAGGUUCCAAGAGAUUCCAUGAGUCAUCAUCCCUGAUGUGCUCAGAAAAAGUAACUUCCCUGUGAUUUGUUGCAGAAAAUUAGGAGUAGCCUAGCUUUUUAGGUCUUUCUUUGCUCUCUCACUACUUGGUGCAUUGACAUGACUCAAUUUUGGCCCAGAAAACAUCGUCUGAAUUUACAUGUCAGCUUGUAAGAGGACUGCAUUUUUGCAGGACAUUCUUUUUUACAUAACCAGGGAUUAUUUUUGAGUGUCCAAAUCACCAGUGCAGGAACUGCCUAGAUGAUCUUCCUUGGUAAAAUAAUGGAAGACUUUCCCCCAAGUCUUCUUUAAUUUUGGGUGCUCUAUUUUGUGGGGUAAUUUAUAAGCAGUUUUGGGCCCCACAAGCAUCAAGAUGUGAACAGUUUUAUGUGUGUCUCAACUUUCUCUGCCUCUGUGGGGACAGUUUAGUGCAGAAAUGAACUUAGUGAUUUUUGCCAGACUUGCUUUCCUGCUCAUGUGUUCCCAGGCAAGACUGUGGGCUUUGUAGUUCUUAUGAGAAGCUUCAAUGGUGUGAGUUUCAGAAGACAUGGACAUCACUACAAAGAAGGGGUAGGUAUGCCAACCUCGAUAUGUCUGGGAACAGCAUGAAUUUUUUUCUUGUAAAGGAUGGCAAUAUUUUUGCAGGGAUCUCUGGCCCAGACCUUGCAAAGGGCCAUGUGCUCUAAUGUCUGCAGUUUCAUGGGGGAUGGGCAAGUGGUAACACCAUAGAGGUGAGGGAAACUGAUUGCAAGAGAAACACUGUUAUGACAGGUGCUGGAGGAGACUAAGGCAACUAGACAGAAUGUGCAUUUUCUCAGCAUGCAUCCAGAAACGUUUCUGA